CCGCAAGGAAGUAAGAUCCCUGAAAGAUGAUCAGGUUGAUAGGUCUGAGGUGGAAGUGUGGCGACACAUGGAGCUGACAGAUACUAAUCGAUCGAGGACUUAACCAAUUU
rnacentral:rRNA from 1 species